GACAGAGGUGGCAAGCGUUGUUCGGAUUUAUUGGGUGUAAAGGGCAGGUAGGUUGUUGUGCAAGUCUGGUGUGAAAGCCCACGGCUCAACCGUGGAAUUGCAUUGGAAACUGCAUGACUUGAGUACCGGAGAGGUGAAGGGAAUUCUCGGUGUACGGGUGAAAUCUGUAGAUAUCGAGAGGAACACCAGUGGCGAAGGCGCUUCACUGGCCGGUUACUGACACUGAGCUGCGAAAGCAAGGGGAGCAAACAGG
rnacentral:rRNA from 1 species